rnacentral:rRNA from 1 species
AGCACGGGAGCAAUCCUGGUGGCGAGUGGCGAACGGGUGAGUAAUGUAUCGGAACGUACCUUUCAGUGGGGGAUAACGUAGCGAAAGUUACGCUAAUACCGCAUAUUCUGUGAGCAGGAAAGCAGGGGAUCGCAAGACCUUGCGCUGAUUGAGCGGCCGAUAUCAGAUUAGCUAGUUGGUGAGGUAAAGGCUCACCAAGGCGACGAUCUGUAGCGGGUCUGAGAGGAUGAUCCGCCACACUGGAACUGAGACACGGUCCAGACUCCUACGGGAGGCAGCAGUGGGGAAUUUUGGACAAUGGGGGCAACCCUGAUCCAGCCAUGCCGCGUGAGUGAAGAAGGCCUUCGGGUUGUAAAGCUCUUUCAGCCGGGAAGAAAUCACAUGGGUUAAUACCCUGUGUGGAUGACGGUACCGGAAUAAGAAGCACCGGCUAACUACGUGCCAGCAGCCGCGGUAAUACGUAGGGUGCGAGCGUUAAUCGGAAUUACUGGGCGUAAAGCGUGCGCAGGCGGUUUGUUAAGAUAGGCGUGAAAUCCCCGGGCUCAACCUGGGAACUGCGUUUAUGACUGGCAGGCUAGAGUAUGGCAGAGGGGGGUGGAAUUCCACGUGUAGCAGUGAAAUGCGUAGAGAUGUGGAGGAACACCGAUGGCGAAGGCAGCCCCCUGGGCCAAUACUGACGCUCAUGCACGAAAGCGUGGGUAGCAAACAGGAUUAGAUACCCUGGUAGUCCACGCCCUAAACGAUGUCAACUAGGUGUUGGGUGGGUAAAACCAUUUAGUACCGGAGCUAACGCGUGAAGU